UACAGAGGUCCCGAGCGUUGUUCGGAUUCACUGGGCGUAAAGGGUGCGUAGGCGGCGCGGUAAGUCGGGUUUGAAAUCUCGGGGCUUAACUCCGAAACUGCAUUCGAUACUGCCGUGCUUGAGGACUGGAGAGGAGACUGGAAUUUACGGUGUAGCGGUGAAAUGCGUAGAUAUCGUAAGGAAGACCAGUGGCGAAGGCGGGUCUCUGGACAGUUCCUGACGCUGAGGCACGAAGGUCAGGGGAGCAAACGGG
rnacentral:rRNA from 1 species